AAUGAACGUUAGCGGUAGGCCUAACACAUGCAAGUCGAACGGCAGCACAGGAGAGCUUGCUCUCUGGGUGGCGAGUGGCGGACGGGUGAGGAAUACAUCGGAAUCUACCUUUUCGUGGGGGAUAACGUAGGGAAACUUACGCUAAUACCGCAUACGACUUACGGGUGAAAGUGGGGGACCGCAAGGCCUCACGCGAUUAGAUGAGCCGAUGUCCGAUUAGCUAGUUGGCGGGGUAAUGGCCCACCAAGGCGACGAUCGGUAGCUGGUCUGAGAGGAUGAUCAGCCACACGGGACCUGAGACACGGUCCAGACUCCUACGGGAGGCAGCAGUGAGGAAGAUUGGACAAUGGGCGCAAGCCUGAUCCAGCCAUACCGCGUGGGUGAAGAAGGCCUUCGGGUUGUAAAGCCCUUUUGUUGGGAAAGAAAUCCUGUCGAUUAAUACUCGGUGGGGAUGACGGUACCCAAAGAAUAAGCACCGGCUAACUUCGUGCCAGCCGCCGCAGUAAUAC
rnacentral:rRNA from 1 species